rnacentral:rRNA from 1 species
UACGAAGGGGGCGAGCGUUGUUCGGAUUUACUGGGCGUAAAGGGCGCGCAGGCGGCGAGUUUUGUCAGGCGUGAAAGCCCCGGGCUCAACCUGGGAAUUGCGCUUGAAACGGGCUUGCUAGAGAUCGGGAGAGGAGCGUGGAAUUCCCAGUGUAGAGGUGAAAUUCGUAGAUAUUGGGAAGAACACCGGUGGCGAAGGCGGCGCUCUGGACCGAGACUGACGCUUAGGCGCGAAAGCGUGGGGAGCAAACAGG